rnacentral:rRNA from 1 species
CCUACGGGAGGCAGCAGUGGGGAAUAUUGCACAAUGGGGGAAACCCUGAUGCAGCGACGCCGCGUGAGUGAAGAAGUAUUUCGGUAUGUAAAGCUCUAUCAGCCGGGAAGAAAAUGACGGUACCUGAUUAAGAAGCCCCGGCUAACUACGUGCCAGCAGCCGCGGUAAUACGUAGGGGGCAAGCGUUAUCCGGAUUUACUGGGGGUAAAGGGAGCGUAGACGGCAGCACAAGUCUGGAGGGAAAUGCCGGGGCUUAACCCCGGAACUGCUGUGGAAACUGUGCAGCUAGAGUGCAGGAGAGGUAAGUGGAAUGCCUGGUGUAGCGGUGAAAUGCGUAGAUAUUAGGAAGAACACCAGUGGCGAAGGCGGCAUACUGGACUGUAACUGACGUUGAGGCUCGAAAGCGUGGGGAGCGAACAGGAUUAGAUACCCUAGUAGUC